AUGGGUGAUCACCGCGAAUUCCCCGCCGUCGCGCCGGGCCACUGCCUGCCCAAGACGUCGUCGAUGAGCGUGACGGACUCGGUCACCGCCGUCCACGACUUCCGGGUCACGGGCUACUCGCUGCUCGACGGCAUGGGCGUCGGCCGCUUCGUCAGCUCCAGCACCUUCACCGUCGGCGGCCUCGACUGGGCCGUCAGGUUCUACCCGGACGGCUCCACCGCCAACUGCCUCGGCAACGCCUCCGCCUUCCUCUACUACUUCAGCCGCGAAAAGGACGUCAGGGCCAGGUUCACCCUCAACCUGAUCGAGAACGACGGCCGGCUGUCCCAGGUAACCAACUCCUAUAUGAAGCACACAUUCUCUCCGGCGAGUGACAAUUGGGGCUUCAUCAAGUUCAUCGAGAAGUCCAAGAUCAAGGGCUCGCCGUUCCUCGAGAACGACUGCCUCACCAUCAGGUGCCUGCUCACCGUCACCAAAGAGUCCCGCACCCAGGACGUCGAGACCAAUUCGAUCGUGGUUCCGCCGUCGAAUCUGCACCAGGAUUUCGGGAACAUGCUGCAGGACGGGGAAGGCGCCGAUGUGACGUUCACUGUGUGUGGCCAAUUGUUCCAUGCUCACAGGUGUGUUUUGGCCUUCCGCUCCCCUGUCUUCAGAGCAGAGCUCUUUGGCCCGCUCAGAGAAAAUGCCACAGAGUGCAUCAAGAUAGACGACAUGGAGCCUAUGAUAUUCGAGGCGCUUCUUCACUUCAUCUACACAGACACCCUUCCUGAUAACUGCAAAGAUGGGAAAGCUGCGGCUAUGCAGCACAUGCUGGUCGCCGCGGAUCGGUACGGCGUCGACAGGCUAAGGCUGCUGUGUGAAAGGAAGCUGAGCGAUGCAAUUGAUGUGGAAACAGUGUCAACCACCCUGGCUUUAGCAGAGCAACACCACUGCUCGCAGCUGCGAGGAGCCUGCAUCAGAUUCAUGGCCUCGCCGGACAUGCUUGGCCCGGUCAUGUUAACCGACGGAUUCAAGCAUCUCGUAGCUAGCUGCCCGCUGAUUUUGAAGGAGGUAUUGGACGAGGUGUCCCGCAUUUGGCGCGACAAGUCUUCUUAG
rnacentral:rRNA from 1 species